AAUGAACGUUGGCGGCGUGGAUUAGGCAUGCAAGUCGGUCGCCCCGAAAGGGGCGAGGCGCAAGGGUGAGUAAGGCGACGGUAACCCACCCCCCGGAUGGGAAUAGCCGCGGGAAACCGCGGGUAAUGCCCAGCGACGUCGGUUGAGGACAUCCUCGGCCGACCAAAGGUGCGAGUCCGCCGGGGGACGGGCCGUCGUGGUAUCAGGUUGUUGGCGAGGUAACGGCUCACCAAGCCUGCGACGCCUACCGGGCGUGCGAGCGUGGCCCGGCACACUGGGACUGAGACACUGCCCAGACUCCUACGGGAGGCUGCAGUCGAGAAUCUUCGGCAAUGGGCGCAAGCCUGACCGAGCGACGCCGCGUGGAGGACGACGGCCUUCGGGUUGUAAACUCCUGUCGAGGGGGAACAAGGGGCCGUGAAGAGCGGUCCUUGAGUGAUCCCUGGAGGAAGCACGGGCUAAGUUCGUGCCAGCAGCCGCAGUAAAAC
rnacentral:rRNA from 1 species